rnacentral:rRNA from 1 species
GAUGAACGCUGGCGGCGUGCCUAAUACAUGCAAGUCGAGCGAACAGAUGAGGAGCUUGCUCCUCUGACGUUAGCGGCGGACGGGUGAGUCACACGUGGAUAACCUACCUAUAAGACUGGGAUAACUUCGGGAAACCGGAGCUAAUACCGGAUAAUAUAUUGAACCGCAUGGUUCAAUAGUGAAAGACGGUUUUGCUGUCACUUAUAGAUGGAUCCGCGCCGCAUUAGCUAGUUGGUAAGGUAACGGCUUACCAAGGCAACGAUGCGUAGCCGACCUGAGAGGGUGAUCGGCCACACUGGAACUGAGACACGGUCCAGACUCCUACGGGAGGCAGCAGUAGGGAAUCUUCCGCAAUGGGCGAAAGCCUGACGGAGCAACGCCGCGUGAGUGAUGAAGGUCUUCGGAUCGUAAAACUCUGUUAUUAGGGAAGAACAAAUGUGUAAGUAACUAUGCACGUCUUGACGGUACCUAAUCAGAAAGCCACGGCUAACUACGUG